GAUGAACGCUAGCGGCAGGCCUAAUACAUGCAAGUCGAGGGGCAGCGCGGUAGCAAUACUGGCGGCGACCGGCGCACGGGUGCGUAACACGUAUGCAACCUACCUUCAACUGGAGGAUAGCCCGGGAAACUCGGAUUAAUACUCCAUAACACAGGGAUCCCGCAUGGGGAAUAUUGUUAAAGCUACGGCGGUUGAAGAUGGGCAUGCGUUCGAUUAGCUAGUUGGUGUAGGUAAACGGCUCAACCAAGGCUACGAUCGAUAGGGGGUCUGAGAGGAUGAUCCCCCACACUGGUACUGAGAUACGGACCAGACUCCUACGGGAGGCAGCAGUAGGGAAUAUUGGUCAAUGGGCGCAAGCCUGAACCAGCCAUGCCGCGUGGCAGGAAGGAAAGGCCCUCUGGGUUGUAAACUGCUUUG
rnacentral:rRNA from 1 species